AAGGAUCAUUACCGAAUUGUCAACACGAGUUGUUGCUGGCCCUCAAACGGGGGCAUGUGCACGCUCUGUUUACACAUCCACUCACACCUGUGCACCCUCUGUAGUUCUGUGGCCUGGGGGGCUCUGCCCUCCUGCUGCGGUUCUACGUCUUUACACAUACACUAUGUAAUGAAGUCUCAUGGAAUGUGUGCCGCGUUUAACGCAAUACAAUACAACUUUCAGCAACGGAUCUCUUGGCUCUC
rnacentral:misc_RNA from 1 species